rnacentral:rRNA from 1 species
GACGAACGCUGGCGGCGUGCCUAAUACAUGCAAGUCGAACGAAGCUGUUUUAACUGGUGCUUGCACCGACUUAAACAACUGAGUGGCGAACGGGUGAGUAACACGUGGGUAACCUGCCCCAAAGCGGGGGAUAGCAUUUGGAAACAGAUGCUAAUACCGCAUAACCACAGAAACCACAUGGUUUCUGUGUCAAAGAUGGUUUCGGCUAUCACUUUGGGAUGGAUCCGCGGCGUAUUAGCUAGUUGGUAAGGUAAUGGCUUACCAAGGCAAUGAUACGUAGCCGAACUGAGAGGUUGAUCGGCCACAUUGGGACUGAGACACGGCCCAAACUCCUACGGGAGGCAGCAGUAGGGAGUCUUCCACAAUGGACGAAAGUCUGAUGGAGCAACGCUGCGUGAGUGAAGAAGGUUUUCGGAUCGUAAAACUCUGUUGUCAGAGAAGAACGUGUGCGAGAGUAACUGUUCGUGCAGUGACGGUAUCUGGCCAGAAAGCCACGGCUAACUACGUGCCAGCAGCCGCAGUAA